rnacentral:pre_miRNA from 1 species
AGGUGGUUUGGAUUGGAGGCAGGGAUGAGGCAGAGCAUGGGAUGGGGCCAUCAACAGACAAAACUCCGUUUCUUCCACUGCAAAAACAUGUUUGUGAGAGGUUUUGAGGCAAAAAAAAAAAAAAGGUUGAGAGCUCCGCCCCCACCGGUGUUGUUGCUCCCUCCCCUGCACUGCCUCUUCCCUGGCUCCCUGCCGCCGCCGGCCC